rnacentral:rRNA from 1 species
UGGGGAAUCUUGCACAAUGGGGGCAACCCUGAUGCAGCGACGCCGCGUGAGCGAUGAAGCCCUUCGGGGCGUAAAGCUCUUUCGACCGGAACGAUAAUGACGGUACCGGGAGAAGAAGCUGCGGCUAACUACGUGCCAGCAGCCGCGGUAAUACGUAGGCAGCAAGCGUUGUUCGGAGUUACUGGGCGUAAAGAGUGCGUAGGCGGUUUUCUAAGUUCGGUGUGAAAUCUCCCGGCUUAACUGGGAGGGUGCGCCGAAGACUGGGAAGCUGGAGUGUGGGAAAGGCAGGCGGAAUUCCUGGUGUAGCGGUGAAAUGCGUAGAGAUCAGGAGGAACACCGGCGGUGUAGACGGCUUGCUAGACCAUAACUGACGCUGAGGCACGAAAGCGUGGGUAGCAAAC